rnacentral:rRNA from 1 species
AGCAGCCGCCACGGGAAUACGUAGGGUGCAAGCGUUAAUCGGAAUUACUGGGCGUAAAGCGUGCGCAGGCGGUUAUAUAAGUCAGAUGUGAAAUCCCCGGGCUCAACCUGGGAACUGCAUUUGAGACUGUAUGGCUAGAGUGUGUCAGAGGGGGGUAGAAUUCCACGUGUAGCAGUGAAAUGCGUAGAUAUGUGGAGGAAUACCGAUGGCGAAGGCAGCCCCCUGGGAUAACACUGACGCUCAUGCACGAAAGCGUGGGGAGCAAACAGGAUUAGAUACCCCCGUAGUCCCUGUCUCUUAUAC